GAUGAACGCUGGCGGCGUGCCUAAUACAUGCAAGUCGAGCGAACAGACGCGGAGCUUGCUCCUCUGACGUUAGCGGCGGACGGGUGAGUAACACGUGGAUCCCCUACCUAUAAGACUGGGAUCACUUCGGGACACCGGCGCUAAUCCCGGAUAAUCUCUUGAACCGCAUGGUUCAAUGGUGAAAGUCGGUUUUUCUGUCACUUAUCGCUGGAUCCGGGCCGCAUGAGCUAGUUGUUAAGGUAACGGCUUACCAAGGGUACGAUGCGUAUCCGACCUGAGAGGGGGAUAGGCGACACGGGAGCUGGAACACCGUCCAGACUCCUACGGGAGGCAGCAGAAGGGAACGGGCGGCAAUGGGCGGAAGCAUGACGGAGCAACGCGGAGUGAGUGAUGAAGGUCUUCGGAGCGUAAAACUCUGUUAUUAGUGAAGAACAAAUGUGUAAGUAACUAUGCACGUCUUGACGGUACCUAAUCAGAAAGCCACGGCUAACUACGUG
rnacentral:rRNA from 1 species